rnacentral:lncRNA from 1 species
GACCUCUAGGCCAGAAAUUACCACCUGAACAAAGUCCCCAUGGACUCUAUUAAUUGUGAGGACAAGCCCAGGCCAUGUGCUCGGAAACAAUGGGGGCGGACCAUGCAUGAGACCACCCUUACACUAGGAGACUCUGAAACUAACUAUAACACAGUCAUGGCUGAGAGCUACUGUGGCCGAGACUCCAGAGGACAGCCACUGAUAUUUUCCCACAGAGAUCCACUGGUUUCUUCCCAGCAUAUCACCACACUGGACCUCAGCAACACAUCAGUUACUUACACACCAACAGAAAGCAGGGAUGUCCACUGUCCCAAGGACAUCGUCUCGCACAACGUGCUGCAAAGCUAUGGCUUGAGGAACGGUACCCGCAACCACACGGGCUGGGCCAUGAAAGAGAUCACCAACCCCUCUGGGCCGACCCUGUACCACAGCAGCUACCGUGAGAGCCAUCAAAAACCCAGCAUGAGCAUCUGCCAUAGUAUCACCACCAUGGGCCACCCCGUUCCCUGGCACAGUCAUGACAUUCUCACAGGAGAGAAGAAGAGACCUGCAGGCCCAGGCAAACACAGGAAGUCCACUAGAGACGAGUCAGUCCAGGCUCAGCGACCCUGGGAGACAGACAGUUGUGCCCUCAGAUUGUCCUGA